rnacentral:rRNA from 1 species
GACGAACGCUGGCGGCGUGCCUAACACAUGCAAGUCGAGCGAGAGGAGUUCCUUCGGGAACAAAUCUAGCGGCGGACGGGUGAGUAACACGUGGGCAACCUGCCUUGUAGAGGGGAAUAGCCUUCCGAAAGGAAGAUUAAUACCGCAUAACGUUACACUUUCGCAUGAAAGAGUAAUUAAAGGAGCAAUCCGCUACAAGAUGGGCCCGCGGCGCAUUAGCUAGUUGGUGAGGUAACGGCUCACCAAGGCGACGAUGCGUAGCCGACCUGAGAGGGUGAUCGGCCACAUUGGGACUGAGACACGGCCCAGACUCCUACGGGAGGCAGCAGUGGGAAUAUUGCACAAUGGGGGAAACCCUGAUGCAGCAACGCCGCGUGAGUGAUGAAGGUCUUCGGAUCGUAAAGCUCUGUCUUCAGGGACGAUAAUGACGGUACCUGAGGAGGAAGCCACGGCUAACUACGUG